GGUUAACAAACCACCUUCAGAUCUGCCUGAGUCCCGUAUCAACUGCUGCUCUCAUAACCCUAACCCUUCCACUCUGAAGGCAAGAGGAGGCAGACUUUAUUCCCAGUAAAGGAGCUUCACAGGGCAGUAACUAAGCACCAUCCUGCUCAAGUAGGAAGUGGCAAUGCAUAGAGGAAGGAGUAUAAAGGAGACCAGGCUGUUUUAAACAGACUUCCUUCAGAUGGUCUCCCCAAGGUUUCCUGUCACGGCUACAGCCACUUUCUGAUGAAUAGAGCCAACAUUGUCUCUGUGGCACUGGAGUGAAAACAACCCCAUUGAAAGCUACUGAGAAACUUGACCAAAAAAAGCUUUGAAGAAGGUGUCGCCACCACCGGCUCCAGUCAUCUGGUUCCUGUAUACACAGGGGGUGCCUAAACAGAGAGGAAAAAAUAAAUAGCGGGAAAACAUUUUAAAAAACAGAAAAAAAAACCCACUCUCUGCUCUUGGUGACCUAAUUUGACUGCUCUGACUAUGCACAGAACAAAGAUCACUUUGGAGCAGCAACGACAUCAAAGAGCCUGGAUUAUUUCUGUGCAUCAGGCAGGGAUUUAAAAAAAAAAAUAAUUGUGAUGCAUCAUUAUUUGGUGUUUACUGUAGUGAAUUCACAAGAGGAGCAUAUUUUAACACAAAGAAUAUGGUUUAAAAAAUACACAUGCUCUCUCUUUGCUGUUGCUUAGUGUGUGUGUUUGUGUGGUUUUUUUAUUGUAUCAUAAAUUGUAUCAACAUCAAAGUCCCAUCUUGAACAACAAGCAUGAGAUUUCCUAGCCUCUACUUGGGGACUAUAUCUUGCCCUUCUAGAGUGAAGGACUUCAUGACAUAAUAGAUCUCAUCCAUCUCUAGCUAUAGUACUACCAUCUUCUGGUUCUUUAGCCUGCCUCAGAGGCCCAUGCUACCAUUGUGUUCAAAAGAACAUCUCUUGAAGAAUUUUAUGGCCCAGGCUUUGCCC